rnacentral:rRNA from 1 species
AUGAACGCUGGCGGCGUGCCUCAUACAUGCAAGUCGAGCGAACGGACGAGAAGCUUGCUUCUCUGAUGUUAGCGGCGGACGGGUGAGUAACACGUGGAUAACCUACCUAUAAGACUGGGAUAACUUCGGGAAACCGGAGCUAAUACCGGAUAAUAUUUUGAACCGCAUGGUUCAAAAGUAAAAGACGGUCUUGCUGUCACUUAUAGAUGGAUCCGCGCUGCAUUAGCUAGUUGGUAAGGUAACGGCUUACCAAGGCAACGAUGCAUAGCCGACCUGAGAGGGUGAUCGGCCACACUGGAACUGAGACACGGUCCAGACUACUACGGGAGGCAGCAGUAGGGAAUCUUCCGCAAUGGGCGAAAGCCUGACGGAGCAACGCCGCGUGAGUGAUGAAGGUCUUCGGAUCGUAAAACUCUGUUAUUAGGGAAGAACAUAUGUGUAAGUAACUGUGCACAUCUUGACGGUACCUAAUCAGAAAGCCACGGCUAACUACGUG